rnacentral:rRNA from 1 species
UUCGCCCUGUUUUACCAAAAACAUCGCCUCCCCCCCCAUGGGAGGUCCCGCCUGCCCAGUGGACUUACUAAACGGCCGCGGUACCCUAACCGUGCUAAGGUAGCGCAAUCACUUGCCCCUUAAAUGAGGGCUAGUAUGAAUGGCAUCACGAGGGUUACCCUGUCUCCCCCCUUUAAUCAGUGAAACUAACCCCCCCGUGAAGAGGCGGGGAUUAUUAUAUAAGACGAGAAGACCCCAUGGAGCUUCAAAUACAUGUCACCCGCCACCAAUAUACCAACCAAACCUGCAGAUCUGACCUCUGUUUUAGGUUGGGGCGACCACGGAGUAAAACCCAACCUCCGAGACGAACCCUUAAUUCAAGAACGACCCCUCAAAAAAUCAAAACUGACGUAAUUGACCCAAAUUUAUUUGAUCAACGAACCAAGUUACCCUGGGGAUAACAGCGCAAUCCAUUUCAAGAGCCCCUAUCAACAAAUGGGUUUACGACCUCGAUGUUGGAUCAGGGUACCCCGGUGGUGUAGCCGCUACCAAUGGUUCGUUUGUUCAACGAUUAAAACCCUACGUGAUCUGAUUCCAGACCGGA